rnacentral:sRNA from 1 species
UGGAUUUUACAGUCCUGGCUAAAAAUCUAGAUGUUAAUGAAUGAGGAUUCAUCCUGGUAUCUUCCUCUGUCAGUGUAAUUGUAAUGUUUUGUUCUGCAGUUUUUCCUACGAUGGCAGGUGGAAACAAAAAUUACAGACAUCUGUGGACUUCCCGUUAGAAAAUCUUGACUUGUCACAGUAUGUUAUUGGUCCAAAGAACAAUUUGAAGAAAUAUAAUUUGUUUUCUGUUUCAAAUCACUACGGCGGGCUGGAUGGAGGCCACUACACAGCCUAUUGUAAAAAUGCAGCAAGACAACGGUGGUUUAAGUUUGAUGAUCAUGAAGUUUCUGAUAUCUCCGUUUCUUCUGUGAAAUCUUCAGCAGCUUAUAUCCUCUUUUAUACUUCACUGGGACCACGAGUAACUGAUGUAGCCACAUAAGGAGACAUAGGUUAUAAACUAGUUAUCUUUUAAAAGGCUCAGCAACACAACUCUUGAAAUGCUUAUCAAGAUAAUGGUAGCUAUAGCUGGCCAUUUAGAGGAAUUCUAGGACAGUGGGAGCUGUGUUACUAGCACUAUAUAAUUCCGGUCAGUGCUGACAAAUAACAUUUAACAAGUAUUGCAGUAAGCAUCACUUACUUACAGGUACCAUUUAUUUCAAAACAACUUUUUUAGUCUGCUCCAAAGUUAAAAUAAUUAACUAGCUAAGCAUUAUUAUUCGACUGGUCUAAAAACCAUUGUUAUCUUUUUUUUUCCUUUUCAC